rnacentral:rRNA from 1 species
UACGUAGGUGGCAAGCGUUGUCCGGAUUUAUUGGGUUUAAAGGGUGCGUAGGCGGUUUUCUAAGUCAGCAGUGAAAUACGGCAGCUCAACUGUCGAGGUGCUGUUGAUACUGGGGAACUUGAGUACUGAUGAGGUAGGCGGAAUGGACGGUGUAGCGGUGAAAUGCUUAGAGAUCGUCCAGAACACCGAUAGCGAAGGCAGCUUACUAAGGAGUAACUGACGCUGAGGCACGAAAAGUGUGGGGGAUCAAACAGG